rnacentral:rRNA from 1 species
UACAGAGGCGGCAAGCGUUGUUCGGAAUUACUGGGCGUAACGGGCGCGUAGGCGGUCCUGUAAGUCCCGUGUGAAAUCCCCCGGCUCAACUGGGGAAUGGCACGGGAGACUGCGGGGCUUGAGUUCGGGAGAGGGAAGCGGAAUUCCGGGUGUAGCGGUGAAAUGCGUAGAUAUCCGGAGGAACACCGGUGGCGAAGGCGGCUUCCUGGACCGACACUGACGAUAAGGCGCGAAAGCUAGGGGAGCAAACGGG